UCAUACCACCCCCGCCCCGCACUCACGCAGCUUCCACGCCGUCUUCGUGGUGACGGCCACGGCCAUGGCUCAGAGCGGCGCCCCUGGGGCGGGCACGGCUGCAGCGCCCUCCUCCUCCCGGUGAGGCUCCGCUCCGCUGGCGCGUCCUACGGCCGGGCCGUGCACCGGGGCUGCCCCGGCCGCCCUGCGGGCACACACAAACACGGUCACGGCGAGACCCUCCCGAGCGGCGGCGCGGCGGAGGGCGAGGCCUCACCGCUGAUGAACAUCACGGGGCGGGAGCGCUCCUCGGGCCGUCGUGGGGGAUCGUCUGGACGCUGGUGGCGGCGGGGCCCGGCGGCACCGCACCGGGACCGGCACCGGGACCCCCCCGCCUACAACCGGCCCUUCACAACAACCCCGCGCCGCGCCGGGCGGUUGCCCGGGUUGCGCGCGCGGCUUGGCCAAUAGGAAGCGAGGGCGGGGCGGUUGCCAUAGCGACGGUGCAGCGGCGUCCACUCGCAACGCGGCUUCUUGGGGGAGCCCUUCGAGCGCUGCCAAUGAGGAGGCGGCGUGCUGAAUGGGCGCCGCCAUCUUGCGGAGCCGCCCUGAGGGGCGGGGUUCGGGCCGCGGCCGGGAGGGGUCGCGGCGCUUCGGCGGGCGAUCCUCCGCGGAAUCGGAGCCUGGGGCGGCUUCGCAGCUUCCAUGGGGGCGGCCUCGGUCCUUCCCAGGCACUCUUAGCGUGUCCCAGGAGUUAGUUCCCGGAUGCCACGGGCACAGACCCUGAGGGAGCGGGUCUCCCGUGAGACUUCUGCGCCUCCCGCCGCCCGGCUGAGGUGCGGUCGUGUCGUGCCGCUUGCGCGUGUUUCUCGCCGUCUCUGAAGCCAAUUACUCCCAUCAACAGAGAAAAUCAAAUUAGUUUGGCGCUACUCCUUGAUCAUGGCCCAAGAACGCUGGCAGAAUUCUCAAGGAUCACCCCCUCCAAGCUCGGGAGCGAUGCAUCCCGACAAGGAGGAAAUCGGGCAAAAAUGCCAGGAGGCCUCCGUGGAUGGAUAAGGAGCUGCUGAGCAAACUCAGAGCUAAAAAAGAAGCUUUCGGGAAGUGGAGAGGAGGACAGGUGGCCUGGGAGGAAUACAGGGAAAUCCCAUGGCAAGGGGGGUUGGGACUAGAUGAUCCAUUCCAACCCCUUAACAUUCUAUGAUUUAAUAAUAUGCUGAUGUUUUGGCAGCUGCUCUGUCCCUAAUGACUGUAAAAAUAUUUUUAAAUUAAUUUAUUCUGGUGCCUUUUCUGGUAUUGAAUUAACAAGGAUGAGUUCAUAACCACAGUGCUAUGUGUGGGUUUUGUCAUUGGAGACCUCUAAAUGAGAUGAAAGAAAUUUUAUGUUUGUGGUGAACUCACCAGUUCAAAAUCUUGGCUUGUGCAAAACUAAAUUAUGAAUUUGUUAAAAUAUUAUUAUGUUUGAAAAGAACCGGUAUUCCCAAAUAAUCCUGCUCCUGAUGUCAGCAGCUAUGGAUCAGGUUUGGGGAAGAAAAGCCCUGAGAGACAGUGUCAGACUUGAGUCUCAGACAUGAUGGGAUUUCGUGUGGAGGGAAUUGAUGUACCUGCAGAUGGGCCUUAGAACAGAAGAGGGAAAAGAAAAAGACACAAUGCUGCAAGUUCAUUAAAAUCUCCUGAUGAAUCUGAUGAUUUUGAGAUUACUGCAGGCAGCUACAGAGAAGGAAGGAAGGGAGAAGUCAGUCAUGCCCAGCCAGGCGGGGGUUCCUGAGCAGCGCCUCUUGAAGAGAAUGGGAUUUCUGUUGUGCCAGCUGCUUUUCCCUGUAACAACAAGGGGGAUAUCAGAGGAAAACUGCAGUGGGAAUCAACCAUUUUGCAGAACAGCUUCAGUGCCAAGUUCCCAGGGGGCUGCCUUGUAGACCUUCCCUGGGCACUGCUCAGGCAUCAUUCCCAAUACCUGCUGGGCCUCUGCUUGAGUCUGGGCAUACUGGCGCUGGUUGCAGCGUGAUGGGCACGGAAUUCAUCCUCCUCCCAGCUCUUGUUCUCUGAAACAAGAGAGCUCUGGGAGCUCCUCUGCCGCUUUUCCAGUGCCUGUGAGGGAACAAGCAACCAAAAGUCAGGGAAAUAGAGAGGGAAGUGAGGAGCAAAGGCACACAAAAGCAUAACUCAAAGUCCAGGGAGCUGAGAUGAAAGAAACCACAAACUGGAGCUGAUUUAUUUUCAGGGAGAGGCAAAAAGUUUGAGAUGAGGUCUCAUGAGAACAAGAAAACAAGGGGAGUCAAAACACGUGGAACAGCAAGAGGCAGCAAACUCCCAAAGUGUUGCCUCCCUAGAGUCAAGAAGCCCUGGAGAACCAAACUGGAUCUGGUUGAGAUAAGGACUAAAUUUCACUGUGGAGCUAUUUUGUUCUUUGAUCUCACAUGCUAAAGAUAAAAAAAAAAUAAAUUUUAUAUAUAUAUAUAUACAGGCAUGGCUCUCUUAAAAUACUCCCCCCAUAAUCCCUAUUAUCAAGUAGUGCUUCUUAAUUAUUUUCUUUAUUAACUAAACAAAAUAAACCAGUAAUCUUUCUCAGUAAUGUGAGUUUUUCCAGAAAGUCAGAAGGUGACCAUAGCAUAACCAUGUUAUAUUUCCCUGGGAAGUCAACUGAAGCUGUGCUGACUUACACCGUACUGGGAUUUGUCCCCCAAUAUAUUUUAAUGAUACUAAAAGCCCUUCAGAGGUAAUUCCUCAGAGGGAAAAAGCUUACUCUGGAUUCCUUUGGGUACAUGUAUGAAAUGCUGGCAUGAACCUACCAUGGCUUCGUGCUGACAUUCUCUCCUUGCAGCGUUAUACAUUGAAACUGUCAAUUUAAUAUUGGCUUCUUCAUCCUCACGAACCUUCAAGACAUUUAGCACCUUCCAAAAAAUCAGAAGAAAGACCCCUCAGCUUUCCCACAAAAUGACUGUACUUUUACAUGCUUGACCUGCUACCAGAGCAGGUGCUGCAUACAAGACUUGUACAAUAAGGGUAAAUACAUAUCUAUACAAAUAUGUUCAUAUCCUGUGGGUAGAUCAAGCUGAUAGUAGUAUUAAUUUUAGAUUGUUACACCGUAUGAAAUUCUUGAACCCCGUUAUUGAUAAUUGAUAAGAAAGCUUUCCUGGAGUCACAGUCUUGGCACUACUUUUGAAACGGCAGCAAAAGCUUUGGCUUAUACUUUGUCUUAUACAGGAUAUGCAGCACAAGCAGUGUGAAUAUUUUGUCUGUUGAUACAUCCAGACUGAGAAAUUUGCAAGGUAGUUCAUGAGGUCACAGUGAACUACCUUCAAAUUUCUGGGGAAAUCUUCACCAAACAAUGGCUGGGGAGCAAGCAUGAUCAUUCAGCAUAGAGACCAACUUUGUGACACCAGAGUCUUAUUUUUACCACAGUUUAUGCUGAGGAUGCUUUGGCAACCAGUCAGCUGAAACUGUUUCCACGCCUGAUCAACUCUGACAGUGUUGCACCUCCCUCUUACCUCUGCUUCAGAUUCCCGGACUUGAUGCUUCAGCUCCUUCUGUUCCUUUCUCAGGUCCCACAGCAACUUGUACAGAUGGAGCACGUUCUUUUGUUUCUCAGAGGACCAUGGCUGGAAGCAGAUAAGUCAGUGUAAAACAGCAGCACUGUCUGGAUCCAUGGGAUCAGGGUAAACACUGGAGAUUUAAGGAAUGAUGGGGCCCAAGAAAUCCAUGGCAAAGACAGAGCUAGAACACAGGGUGUCUGCCUCUGCUGCUCUGCUCUAUCUCUUCUUGAAGAGGGAACAGCAGAGGAAAUUUCAGCUGCCCUGCCCUGAAUCCACAGAACUGAGCCCAACAGCUGCUGAACCUGCAUCUUGCAAGAUCCCAGGGGCUGUGGGAUCUGCCUGAUGACCAAGUCUGGGAAGAUGACCUCAGAGGAAGCCUGUCACACCACACUACGUCCUGCAUGCCCAGUCACUCCCAGCAUGGCAGGGCAACUCCAGGGCUGUCCAUGUUGUGGACAGGGGCUGGGAGGGAGGUGUGCAGGUGGAGCAGAGGGGCAGCAUGGAAUAUGUCAUACUUGUAGUUCUUCCACUGACAUUUCACCUUCCCUUUGUGUCCUGUGAUCUAAAAAGAUUUCAAAAUAAAUGUAGUUUUUCUUCAUA